GAUGAACGCUGGCGGCGUGCCUAAUACAUGCAAGUCGAGCGAACGGACGAGAAGCUUGCUUCUCUGAUGUUAGCGGCGGACGGGUGAGUAACACGUGGAUAACCUACCUAUAAUACUGGGAUAACUUCGGGAAACCGGAGCUAAUACCGGAUCAUAUUUUCAACCGCAUGGAUCAAAAGUGAAAGACGGUCUUGCUGUCCCUUAUAGAUGGAUCCGCGCUGCAUUAGCUAGUUGGUAAGGUAACGGCUUACCAAGGCAACGAUGCAUAGCCGACCUGAGAGGGUGAUCGGCCACACUGGAACUGAGACACGGUCCAGACUCCUACGGGAGGCAGCAGUAGGGAAUCUUCCGCAAUGGGCGAAAGCCUGACCCAGCAACGCCGCGUGAGUGAUGAAGGUCUUCGGAUCGUAAAACUCUGUUAUUAGGGAAGAACAUAUGUGUAAGUAACUGUGCACAUCUUGACGGUACCUAAUCAGAAAGCCACGGCUAACUACGUG
rnacentral:rRNA from 1 species